rnacentral:lncRNA from 1 species
CUCUGUCACCAAGCUGGAAUGCAGUGGCACCUUCGCGGCUCACUGCAACCUCUACCUCCCAGGUUCAAGCGAUUCUCCUGUCUCAGCCUCCUGAGUAGCUGGGAUUACAGGCACCCACCACAAUCCAGGCUAAUUUUUGUAUUUUUAGCAGAGAUGGGGUUUCACCAUGUUGGCCAGGCUGGUCUCGAACUCCUGACCUCAGGUGAUCCACCUGCUUCAGCCUCCCAAAGUGCUGGGAUUACAGGCAUGAGCCACCGGGCCUGGGCCUGACGGUUUUAUAAAGGGGAGUUUCCUACACGAGCUCUCUUUGCCUGCUGCCAUGUAAGAUGUGACUUCACUCCUCAUUUGCCUUCUGCCAUGAUUGUGAGGCCUCCCCAGCCCCAUGCAGAACUGUGAGUCCCUGAAACCUCUCCUUUAUAAAUCACCCAGUCUCAGGUACGUCUUUAUUAGCAUGUGAGAACAGACUAAUACAUAUAGAAAAGGGGAAAAAAGUGUUUUUCUUCUUCACCACUGACAUCUGUGCUCUGUGGUGCUUGAGCACAAAAGAAAGAUCAUAACAACCUUGAACCUUUGGCUCUCAGUCCUGUGUGGUUUGAUAUUCUGACCAUCUGUAGUUAUUACUUAAAUAAUAUCUUUCAGUUUGGGCAAAAAAAAUCUAUUCAGUGCUUGGAAUAUGAUACUAUAAAUUAUUUAGAAUGUUUUAUCUUGCAUAGUGCUGCCUAGAAUUAAUGUCUGAGAAGAAUGGGAUGUUGGAUAUGUUUUUCUUAAAAAAGGUGGGACAUGAGGAUGUGAUUCCAUAAUCAAAGGACAGGGAUUAACUGAUAAGAUAUGUGAAUUUCCACACCUCAGAGAAGAAAGAGAUAGCUUUGGGGUGGCAAAUGAUAGAGCCGAUUAUCACUCUGAGAGGAAAGAGAGGAGUGGGGCUGUGUGCGUUUGCUAGACCAAGCUCUAACUGGCUUGCUGAGAAUGUUAUCUCCUAGCAGGACAGAAGGAAGCUAGAAGGGCUCAUCACAGCAAGUUUUUGAAAGAUCUUUUUCCUUCCCUCCCUAUGCAGUCCUCUCCAUGGUGGUUUUGGGACCCAAAUUGCCACUAGGGCAGGCUUAGCUUUCAAGCCUGGAGCAGAUGCCCAGGACGUCCAGGGCACCAACCUCUCCCAUCUGCAAUUACCCUCCUCCCCUUAUGAAAUACUCCCUUUUGUUUUGUUUUGUUUUGCUUUUCUUUUUGGAGUCAGUGUCUCACCCUUGCCCAGGGUGCAGUGCAGAGGCGCAAUCAUAGCUCACUGCAGCCUCAACAUCCCAGGCUCAAACAACUCUCCUGCCUCAGCUUCCUGAAUAGCUAGACUACAGGCACACGCUACCUGUAUGUGCCUGGCUAAUUUUUUAAUUUAAUAGAGACAGGGUCUCACCGUGUUGACCAGGCUGGUCUUGAACUCCUGAGUUCAAGCAACCCUCCCACCUUGACCUCCCAAAGUCCUGGGAUUCCAGACAUGAGCCACUGCACCUGGCCAAAAUACCCCUUUUUUCUAUCAGCAUCCGUAUCAAGCCUAUCUUAUCCAUUCCAUUUGUCCUCCCAUCUAAUUCCUUUCUUCCAUGGGGUCCUUUAGAACCUCCUGCUACUAUAAACAAAGUCACUAAGAGCUUAAGCUUGUCUCAGACACUCCCUGGCUCAUGCAAUUAACUGGAACCUGGAAUUUCCGUGAUAACAUCUCUUGCCUUUUUGUCCUCCACAAGAGAUCUCUCUUUAGACUGCUCUGCAUUUUAAAAGGUCUGGAAGGGAAGGGGUCAUGCUUCUUGUUUUUCUUAUGGCCUCUUCUGUAUUCCUGGGUCCCCCAAUUCUUGGCCUCUUCCUAUCACUUUUGCGCCUUCUUCACAAUACUCCUGCAACCCCUUCAUUUGUUCUGGGGGCUCCAAACACCACUUCUGGCAGGAUGACUUCAUUCACCAAACGGUGGCUACACACUUCCAACCCAACAGACCACAGACUGAAUUCUGUGACUUUCCCGUUUGUAAUAAUGAUACCAUCAUUCUACCGGUCUCUAGGGGCUAAAACUCUACUGGUCACCUUUGAUUCCUUCCUCUCUGUCAGUAAUAGCACCUACUCCUGUGUUUCUGCGAGGCUUACAUGAGAAAAGCCAGGUACAUCACUGAUCACACAGGGCGUGAUGCUGAGUAAGUGCUCCAUAAUGUAAGGCUUUAUUCGUUAAUAGAUUAUUGCUCACAGUGAAUCCACGAAGUAACCAAUCCCCAUUUCUCCCUCUUCAUGUCUCUCAAAACCACACACACCAUCCAUUCUUUCUGUUUCCCUUGCCAUGUUCCUUAUCAAAACACAUCAACUGCCAUCUGGACCAGGGAUAGGAACGCUAAGCCAGACUCCUUGUCUCCAAUCUCUUCUCCCACUUCCUAAUCCAUCUGGGAUACAAGAUCCAGAGAAAGCUAAUGAAAAACCACCUUAGUGAUGUCAUUCUGCUGCUCGGAAAUGUCAACACUUUCUUGAUGGCUCACCUGGAAACGAAGUUCUUCUCUUCUAGUGCCACACUCCAUUUCCAGGCCUGUCUCCAAAAACCAUGAUCCAGCCAGUCUAGAAUGCAAAACCUCUGAAAAGUCUUCCGCCUCUCCCACGUCCAUUCAUUUGCAGAUAACAUUGUCUCAGUCUGGAAAGUCCCCAUCCUCCACAGAUUGAAAUCGUUCUCAUCUUCUAAAGCUCCCCUCCUCUAUAGAGCCACUUUCUGUGUUUCUUCUGUCUGUUUCUCCCUUGAACCCCCACUGCCCCGACUUAUCUUCCUCUCAUAGAGCUUAUUUUUUUUUUUUUUUGCUCUUACUCGUCUUUCUUUUCCCAGUAGGACCUCAUGCAGUGCUUAUAAGUAGAAGUCACUCAAUACAUAUUCGUUGAGAAAACUGAAUAUCGUUCUCGCUUUUAGGUGUAUUACUGGCCUGCGGAAGACUUGGAUGUCCCAGCAUGGUAGAAGGCCAGGUCCCUGCAGUGCAACGCUUGCAUUCUACAUCCAGAAAACUAAAGUUCAAAGAGGUUAAGCAAUUUGCCAGAAUCCUGCAGUCCAGGGACUGAGCGGAACCUGGAAUCCGCCACCGGGACUUCCAGCCCUGCUCCCUCCGGCGCCACCCUCUUCCCAGAGGUAGGGAGAGCUGAGGCUCGCUGUGCUCACGUGGCUUUCAGAGCCCGCCUCGGACCCUGACCUGUAUUCCACUCCCGACCCCACACUUCCUCGUUUCCCCUUCCUUCUCCCUCUCUUCCCAGGGUCCCGCAGGGCCGGCUGGAUGAAGUGAUGCCGGGCACCUAUACACGCAUGAUGGCAAAAGGAGGAUUGCAACGCCAGAGCUCGCCCCUCCAGAGCUGUGCAGGGUCCCCACCGAGGAGGGGGUGCAAACGGGUGCUGGGCUCGGGGGUCAGCCCGCGCCAAGUCUGGGGCUGGGGGCGGAGCCUGCCGGUCCGG